GGGUCGGUGGCACAGUGGUAGCGCGAGAGAUUGCAGUGAAGCAGAAAUGCAUGCCCAGUAUCUCUAGGUCAUGAGUUCGAACCUCAUUCGGCCCU